CGGCUAGUCAAUCCAACAACUCUAACUCGCAUAAACGGAGUGACGUCUCUUUCAGCAAGUCCAGCAGCUUGCAGAGCUUUUUCAAGAGAUUUCUGCAGGUCCGACUGCCGCAAUGACUGAAAAUGACAAAAAGGGAUCAUGACUAACCUCCUACGGCUAAAGUGGGUGGAAAUGAAAAUACCUCCAACUUUGCUUGAUAGGAUGAAAAUAAAUUCAACUGCUCUGAAGUCAUCUCCGCCAUCAGAAGUUCUGGUUCUGCAGCUCUCUCAAGUAUCCUCAAAAUCCUUGCCCCUUCUUUACUUUCGUAGUCGCUUCCUAUGUAGGCAUCUUUCUUUUCUUUUUGAGAUUCUGAGACUACUCCCUCCACAAUGCUACUGCGUCUAGAUUGCCAAAACUCACAAAUAUAGGUCUUUGAUCCGAAAUUCAGAAUUUAAAAAGAGCUUGAUAGAUUCCAAUUCACAUACAUCAUCUCCUGUUAACAAGAUGUCGUCCACAUAAACCGCCAAAAUAGAUAUUCUUCCUCAAUUUUUCUUAAAGAAAAGAGAGUAGUCAUUUAGAGAAUGAGAAUAUCCCUUAAAACUUAAAGCUGCAGUCAGACAAGCAUACCACUGCCUAGAUGCUUGUCGAAAUCCAUAAAGUGAUUUUUUAAGACGACAAACUUGAAAUGAACUAGGAGCUUGCAUACCAAUAGGGAACUUCAUAUAGACUUCUUCCUGCAAAUCACAUGCAGGAAGGCAUUAUUCACAUCCAAUUGUGAAAUAUGCCAAUGUUUCUUGACAGCCACUGUUAAUAGACAUCGGAUUGUUGGCAUCUUGACAACUGGGGAAUAUGUUUCUGCGAAAUCGAUCCCCUCUUGUUGAAUAUCCCCUCUCACAACUAACCGUGCUUUGAGGCGUUCAACUGUCCCAUCUUGUUUAUACUAAACCUUAUACACCCAUUUGCAGGGUAGAGCUUUCUCCCCUUUAGGCAAUUCCACAACCUCCCAGGUAUUAUUUGAUUCAAGAGCUUCAAAUUCUUUAGCCAUGGCUUCUUUCCACCCGGAUGUAAACAGGCUAGGGAAUAAGAAGUAGGUUCAGUGAUAGAGGAAACAGAGUUUAGAAGAGAUUGAUUAGCACUGGACAAUGCAGAAAAAGAAAGUGAAACAGGAGAAACAGGUGCAGAAAAACGCUGAGCAGAGACAUCAGUGAGAAUGACAGAAUUGCAAAUGUAGUCACUUAAGUACUUGGGUGUGUGAGAUACACGAGUGGAUUGUCUAGUAGGAAGUCGGGGCGCCUCAUGAUCAGGUGCUACAAUGUCCUGUGGAUGUGUAAGUUGAGGAUCAAGGGGAAUGCUAGGGAUGUCCACCAUUUCUGCAGGUAAAGAAGAGGAAGAGGAAGAGGAAGAGGUAGAUAUAGGAUCUGCAGUAGGUAAAGGAGACAGAGAAGACGAAUGUGAAAUAGGGGAAAAGGAACCACAAUCUGGAGGGACAUAGGUGUCAGAGUGGAAAGGGAAAAUGUUGUUUGCUGGAACAGUGCUAGAGAAAGGAUAGAUUCCUUCAUGGAAAACAACAUUUCUAGACUCAAAAAUUUUGUUAUUAUUUAAGUCAAGAAGUUUGUAUCCCUUCUUCCCAAAGGGAUAACCUAAAAACACACACUUGACAGAUUUCGGAUCUAGUUUCCCUCUAUUGACAGGUAAAGUAGAGGCAUAACAAAGACAACCAAAACACCUGAGAAUAGAAUAAUCAGGUGAGUGACCAAAUAAGAGCUCAUAAGGGGUUUUCAUAUUGGGCAAUUUGGAAGUGAACCUAUUUAUUAAGAAAGUUGCUGUUAAGAGACACUCCCCCCAAAAAUGAAUAGGUAAAUUUGACUGGAAAAGCAAAGCCCUACACACCUCUAACAAAUGUCUGUGUUUUCUCUCCACAACUCCAUUUUGCUGUGGAGAGCUUACACAAGAAGUUUGGUGUAUGAUUCCUCCUGACAAAAGUAACUCUUUUCCCUCUUUACUGCUCCCUAGCUCUAGGGCAUUAUCACUUCUAAGUAUCUUGACCUUAGUGUGAAAUUGGGUUUUAAUCAUAACCAAAAAUUGCUUUAAGACUGUGAAAGCAUUAGAUUUAGUGCUCAAAAGGAAAGUUCAAGUAGCUCUACUGUGAUCAUCUACAAUGGUUAGAAAGUACUUAAAACCAUCGUGAGUUGAGGUUUUGUAAGGUCCCCAUGUUUCAACAUGUAUAAGAUCAAAUAUAUGCUUGGAAACUAUGUUAGUAGACCCAAAAGGUAAUUUAGUUUGUUUUGCUUUAGCACAAACAUCACAAGGAACAGAAAUAGAAUUGAUAGGAUCAGGACAAACAUAUUUCAUAUUAGAAAAUGGCAUGUGACCAAGUCUACAAUGCCAAGUGUUUACAUCAACAGCAACUGAUCCUAGAAAUGAAGAAGAUUUUGAUACUUGUGCUACGGCACUUUGAUUACACUUGGAAUUAAAAACUCUGCUAAAAGAAGAUAGACUAUUUGAAUGCCUGGCUUGUCUGGUGCUACUUGAAUGUAGAAGAUACAACCCCCUAGUGACUUUACCAAGAACCAAUGGCCUCUUCAUUGAAGGGCCCUGCAGAAUAGCUUCUGCACCAAAACUGGAGAAACUUAGAAUUGAUUUGAAUUGUAAACAAAGUCUAUAAACUGAUAGAAGAUUAUAAUGAAAAGAUGGUACAUAUAGGACAUGAUGUAUAGUGAAAUCUGGGAACAAAGUCAUUGAUCCUGAUUUAAAAACAAGAGAUCUAGUGGAAUUUGGCAGAUUCACAUAUAUAGGCUUAGGGAGGCUCUUAACAUUGAACAACAAAUUAAAAUCAGAUGUCAUGUGCUCAGAUGCUCCCGAGUCUAGAAUCCAAGGAACUGUGCCUAAAGAGACAUUAACGAAGGGCUUAGAAGAAGGUAGAGUAGUUAUUCCAGCACAAUUGACCGUUGCAGACUCCUCAGUAUUAGUUUUUACUUCAGCUCCUAGCUUCAUAUGGUGUAAAAGUUGAUACAAGUGAUGAUACUGAUCCUGAGUCAUUGGCUUGUCACCUGCACUACUACCCGAUUCAUCAACGAAAUAAGCAGAAUUGCUUUUCACAGUGGGUCCAAUUUUCUUGGACUUUGUGAAUUUGAAAUCAGCAGGGAACCCUAUCAACCUGUAACAAUUUUCAAUGGUAUGGUUUGUCUUCUUACAGUAGGAACAAAAGAGCCCAUUACCAAUUUUCUUUCCUUCGGUUACAGGUUUUCUUUCUGCAAACUUCUGCGAAUUGUAAGGUUGGCUAGGAUGUCCUGCAGUGAAAUCAGAAGAUCCAGCUCCAAAGUUGUUUGUUCCAUGCUUAGAAACAUAAAAAGUUGUAGGUGCAGCAUGUUGUGAUACAUGAACUUCCCUCUGUUUCUCAUCCCUGAUGAGGAGAGAAUAGGCAUGGUUCACUGAAGGGAGAGGGGAAAGCAACAAUAAGCUGCUUCUAGGUCCUGUAUAAGCUUCAUUCAGUCCCAUAAGGAAUUGAAUAAGCCUUCAUCUUUUUCAGAUUUGUUAGAUUUCACCUUACCUCCACAUGAACAAUCACAGGUGCAAGGGACACAUUUCCUUGAACUGACUCACUGAUUUCCUUUUGUAGUUGAUAAAGAAGAGGUCCAUUGCUCUGUCCAAACCUCUCCUCAGGUUCUUCCCAGAUGUGUUUUGCAGUCUUGGAGUAUAAAACACUUUCAGCAAUCUCCUUUGAGAGGGAGUUCAGGAGCCAAGAGAUCACCAUGUUGUUGCACCUUGACCAUGUUUUAUAAGUAUCAGAAGUGAUAUUUGGUGUGGUAAUUGUUCUAUCAAUGAAACCAACCUUAUUCUUUGGUGAUAAAGCUAUCAAAAUUCCCUGCGCCAACCACCAUAUCCCUUACCAUCAAAAAUGGUGUUCACGAGCACCAUUCCAGGGGAAUCUGAAGCAUGAAGAAAGAAUGGGUGAGCUGUAUCUAGCAUAUUCCCUUGAGUUGGAAGUAGUACCAACUCCAGGUGAAGAGGUCUGAUUGUUGCUUUCAUUAGUAGGGGUGUCUUCCAUUAGAUAUGGAAGAGAGAGAGAAUUAAAGGGAAAGGGACUGUAAAAAAAAAAUUAGGAUAUAUUCCUAAUGCUUUGAUACCAUGUUUAAAGAAAAGAGACAAUUGAGAAAUUUUCUCUGUGUUUUUAUUGAUCACCAUUUCAUCAAUUUAUACAAGUAGGAAUGAAAACAACGCCUUCAUGCUAUGUACAUAUGUCACUAGCCUAUAGGCUAACUUCCUAACAUACUUUGCAGUGAAUUAUUCACAAUAUUCCUUUUGCUAUGUACACAGUUUCUUGGAUUCUGGAAGGUAUUCAAAGUUCCUUUUGUCUUGAUUAGCUUAUCUCCCACACUCUUCUUCUUUAUUACAUUUUUGAUAGUGUCCUUGAGUUGGGAGAGGCGGGAAGUACUGUGAUAGUUGGAGAAAUCAGAAAUUAACACUGAUUUUGAAUUUGAGAUCCUAACACAUAAAACGGAGUGACGUCUCUUUCAUCAAGUCCAGCAGCUUGCAGAGUUUUUUCAAGAGAUUUCUGCAGGUCCGACUGCCGCAAUGACUGAAAAUGACAAAAAAGGGAUCGUGACUAACCUCCUACGGCUAAAGCGGGUGGAAAUGAACAUACCUCCAACUUUUCUUGAUAGGAUGAAAAUAAAUUCAACUGCUCUGAAGUCAUCUCUGCCAUCAGAAGUUCUGGUUCUGCAGCUCUCUCGAGUAUCCUCAAAAUCCUUGCCCCUUCUUUAUUUUCGUAGUUGCUUCCUAUGUAGGCAUCUUUCUUUUCUUUUUGAGAUUCUGAGACUACUCCCUCCACAAUGCUACUGCAUCUAGAUUGACAAAACUCACAAAUAUAGGCCGUAUUAGUACAUAUCACAGAGAUUCAUUAAUAAAACAUAUCAAAUAGUAUUGAAGUGGCACCGCGUGAAAGUUGAAACCGUAUUCGAAAAUACGUCACAUCCAAGAUAUAAGCAUGCUCUAAC
rnacentral:lncRNA from 1 species